ensembl:lncRNA
GAGAAAUCUUGUUUGCCAGUAAAAGGUAUGUGUAUGCAUGGAAGCACUGUGUCUGCAGCUCUCCCCUUUGUAAUUAUAUCAUUAGAGGUGCUAUGUGUAUGGGCUUUCCUGUUAUUCCUUUUUGGGGUGGGUGAUCAGUGGGUUUCCACUGGAGUAUGAAGAUAAUAUCCUCCAACUAGACCAAGCCUUUGAUGCUGAGAUCACACUCGGACCGUGCGUGCCGCCGCCGGGUACCGGAGCGGGGCCGGACGGAUCAGCGUGGGCUGAAUGCCCUCUACCGGGGGAACCCGGAGGUUACCCACAGCCGCACCAUCGGUGAGCAGCGCGGGCUGGGGGUGCCCCCUUCGUCACCUGCGUUGUCUUUGCAUCAAAACACAAUGGGGGUGGUAAUUAAACGAACAAGGAAAAAGAGACAGAUUAAUUGAUUGAACUGGUUCCAGGAGAAACCAUUAGUCCUGUUCCUCUUCUGCUCUAUAUGGUGUUUAAACAACUCUGAAAUGGAGCCCGGUGAAUCCUGCCAACAUAUUUCUGUAAGCGUUGCUUUGAUUUUCAAAUGAAUUGUCUUCAUCUGCUUUUAUCCCCCUGUUGCCUUAGCUUUAUAUGAAAAUGUGUACAAUCUUCUUGCUUAUGAAAAAGAAAGAAAGAAAAAAGCUAAUAUGUUUCAAUAUGACUGAAGAUGAAUUUUGUUCCUGUGAGCUCAAGAGUUAUGUGGCAACAGGACCAAAAUAAUGUCAUGUGACAGACCAAUAAUCACUAAUGACAUUGUUCAAAUAUGCCACAGUGCAAAUGAAUAAUACUAUGCUGUGGAUCAAAUAUAGCAAAAUUAUUUAACUUUUAUCGCAAACAACAGAAACUCUGUUUUUAGAGGGGGGGGAAAAAAAAAAAAGGAAGAGAGAAACGUACCAAAUACUGCAGUUUCUGCCAGUUAUUUUAUUGAAACGAUUAAGAAUAUUUUUCUUUUAAAUUGCAUUCAGUUAAUGUGCAUUUAUAAAUGUGAUGUCAGUAAGAAUAGAGUGUAUUAGUCAAAUCUGUGUUUGGGGAAUAUGAAUAAUAUUUAUUAACCAUAAAAUCCCAUGAUAUUAAUAGACAUACUAGCAUAUUUUUUUAAGUGUUUUGAAAAGAAGGAAGGAAGAAGAAAAAUCACGAAGGAGUGACUUCUAAGUGAAUUUUACCAGAAAAAUCAUCAACAUUAAAGAAAUACAAUUUUUCAUCUGGAUCUAAUCUAAAGUUUCAUAAAAUAUUUCUGUUGAACAAUUAUUCAGUGAGAGGUUGAAUAAAUAUAGUAGUAAAAGCCACAGUGAAGUUUUCCUGAUGAUUUGAAAAAUAGGCACAAAACUCACUUCUAUCUCCAUGAAUAAGAAAGAUUACUAAUUUAGUUUGUAUUAGUAUUCUACUUUUCUUUCUAAUUUCCUUUAUGGAACAUAUCAGAUUAUAUAAGACUGCAGAAGGGCUGAGAUUUUCAAAGUUACCUUUUGAAUUUAUUUUUUUUUAAUGAGCAGAUCUGAAGCUUAGAACAAUUCAUUUUCCUAAAUCACAAGUCCUUGGUUUGAUAAUGAGCGUGGGGAUUCCUAUUUCAGCCUGGAUAACUGUUCACCUCAAGAAUGUGCUGCAGAUCCUCUGCCCUCCCAGGAAGACCUACAUGUUUGGAGAAAGCACUGUGAUUUGAAAUCUGUGAGGAAGACCACAAAAGGCAGAUGAGGAUGGUAAAGAAAUAAUUGAAGGAAGAAGAGUUUCUUGCCAUUCUUUCACCCAAGAUGCAGCUGUGUAUACACAUAAUAUAUACUAAAAUCUCAGUUUUAAGAAAUAUCAAGCUUCCUUUACUAAUGAUGUAGAAAAUGAGAUUUAAAAAGCGAGUAUUUUACAGCAUGUGAAUGUCUUAUAUAGUUGUCUAUAAAAUGUGACCAGAGAGUUACACAAACUUAGUAUGGGUCUGAGCUGAAGGGAAGAAAACAUGGUUUAAGUCUGGGAUGUGCUAAUGUGAAUGUAAGUCACAAGAGGUGUUAUUUUACUAUCUAAGAAAUGAUUUUUUUUGCAGUGUCAUCCCAGACACACCUGUUUGAGAAUGACAUAGCCAAAGAGAAGAAAGCCCAAGAGGAGAGUCCUGUGGUCAGUCCAUAACCAUCCAUCUCUGACACCCCUCCAUGUCUACUCUCAGCCCCCCCUCCACAUGGGUCCCUCCCACACCAUCCUUCCUGACUCCCAGUGGGCUUCCCACAGCCUGCAGCUCUCCCAGAACAACCCCAACAUGGCUCCAUGCCAUGGGGCACUGCUGGGCUCUGCUCACUAGAGGAUUCUCCUGCAGCUCCUCUGCUAUCAGAACCUCACCAUGUAAGAGCAAUACACCUUGGCACACUCCUGGGCCUGGCCAUGGCAUUGGAGCUAUGUGAUGAAGCAAUCAGUUCUCUUAAGUGCUUAUUCACUAGCAAACCCAUGAAGUCUCUGGUGACACCCAACAGUCAGGUUUCUUUAAUUAAACAUUUUGAAGGUUUCUGAUUUGUAGCAAAUACGUGUUUAUUAAUAUCUUUUCGUAUUUAUCUCCAUAAGAAGAUUGAAAAGAAGUAUUUUACUUGUUUUGUUUUUUCUUCUCUGAAGAAAAAUAAACAUAGAAGAUGUGUCUGUCUCCCUCUCCCCAAAUAAAUAAGUCUCUGUAUUUUUCACUGAAGGCCACCAUUGCCUGACCACCCAGCCCCACUGAUUGGCCUCAAGUGGGAAGGCAUCAUGGUAGCUGGCACUGUGUGGCAGGUGAGCAGAGAAGGUGUGGGUGCUCCAUUCCUGGAGGCAUUCAAGCCCAGGCUGGAUGGGCUGCCCUAAGCAGCCUGAGCUGGUAGAGGACAGCCAUGCCCAUGGCAGGGGGUUGGAACUGGGUGGGCUUUGGUAUCCCUCCCAGCUCUAGCCAUUCUAUGAUUCUAUGAAUUAAAAAGUGCAUUUUGGAAGUAGCUGGUAGCUUUGUGACUAUCUGCGUACAUGAGAGCUAAUAAAAUUAUUGUCACUCAGCAGCACUUGAUUGCAACCUAAUGGCUAGAACAGUUUUUCAGCCAAGAAGCAGGGAAAAAUGCCUCCUGGCAGAGCACAACUACAUACAUGGGGAAAAUAGUUGUUAUUUCAGGUGCUUAGGUUCCCAGUAGAAAAUAAGUUUAAUUAAUUUAUUUAUUUUUCUAAUUUGUGAAAAUAUGCCUACAGUGACCUCUAGGAACACGUGCAAAAGCCAUAAAACCAGAUUCAUUCAUUAACCAUCUGACACAAUGUCAAUCGUAGAUAGUCAAAUAAACAACUAACACGUGAGGAAAACUCAAACUCCUCCCUUCCAACUCUCCAUAGGAAAAAGCCUUAGAGAGUGAACACGCUUGGCAGCGUGCCUUGGGCUCCUCACUCAGUGCCUUUUUUGGGUGACAGAGAGAAUGGAGUCUGAACCGCAGCGAUGAACACUCUCAUUGCUGUUUUAUAUUCAUGCCUUUCAAUUAAAAUCCAUAAAUGUUUAUACUUUUUUCCAUUUUUUUUUCUUUUUAAUGUGUUACAUGGGAAAUAGGAAUGAGUUACAAAAAUGAAUAUGUAAAGCGUUUUCAUCUCUGCGAUGGGCAGAGAGCUGCAAAUUAGGGUUUCUGGCUCCUCCUCCAACCUCUGCCACUCUUCUGCUCUCUGAUCCUGGGGCAGCUACUCAUCCAGUGUGGUUGGAUGUGCAAAAUUCACUACACUGGGCUUGCCAGCUCCUUGUAACUCAGCCUACUGCUCUUUUGCUAAUCUUUGAAAUUCUCUUCUUGCUGUAGGAUGCUUUUAACAGUGAAACUAUUUGAGGAAAAGUCAGGUCCACUUCAGUAAUGGAAUGAAAAAAGUAAUGGAAGGAGCCCAGGCUCUCCUUGAAGCAGCAGGGAGUAUCAGCCUCCCAUGGCCAAGUGACAGCAGCACUGAGAUCUUGGUGCUUCACACCUUUUCCAACACUUCCAUGUGAUUGCAGUGACUUUGCCCUUGCCGGUGCCUUCAGUCCCUGAAGGAAGUACCUAUCUGAACCUGAAGUGCUGUCUUUGCUGUGAUGCCACCAGCAACUACAGUUUUCCUCCUGCAAAAACCUCCUUAUGCAUUAUGAAACAAUAUGUGUUAUGUUUUGCUUUAUAAAUAAUCAGUUUUUGCAAACUUAUAUAUCAUCUGUGUGACAAACACUUUGUUCCAUGGUAAUGAAUACAAGUCUGUGUCCAAACAUCACGUUUAAACACCAAAAAAAAAAAAAAAAAAAAAAAAAAAAAUCCUUUGAGGCUACAUCUUCAUGUUCAACAGAUGAGGUUCUGUUCAACCUGGAGCUCUGUGACUGUGAUGAACACAGAACAGCACAGGAGUAAAUCUUCCCUCUACUUUGCCCCCCCCCCCCCCGGGACAAUGUUUUCUAGAAAAGAUCAGACGGUGUUUUAAUGCCUGGGGAAAAACAGAACGUGACCCACAGUAUAUUUAGGCAGUUCCAUUUCUGCUUGCUAUUUUUAAAAGCAUAUGCGUUAUUUAAAAAUAAUUAGCUUGAGCCCAUUUAUGUACAAUGUAUAUAUUGCACAUAUGUCUAUACAGAACAAGAAACAAUGUAAUCACAACCUUACUACACUAAAGGUCUUGGCAUAAGAAACACAGACAGUGAAAGCCAAAGAGAUUUUACCUGUCAUAUGUAUUUCCCUCAUUUAAAUAUAUUAAAACAGAACAAAAAUAAACUUCUGAUGCUCAGAGUUUAACCCAGUGUAACAUAGUAGUUAUUUCAGUCUUUACUACAACAAUUAUUGAUAUUCUAUAUGUUCAUGUGCAGUAAAACGUGAGACAGAAAUCUCGAUGACUUAUUGUUCUGCAACUUCAAAUUUCAUCUGUUGUUUGUGGAAAGAAAAGAUAUCUUCAGAUAUGUACACACAUUUUUCUCUAAAUGUCUCUGCAUGGCAAGUAAGGCUGUAUGGGGCGAAAGGGCGACAGCAGGUUUUACUCUGCAAAUGUGAGCAUGUGCAUCUGCAGUCUUCUGUCCCUUUAAAAUUUAAUUACACAGUAUAAUAAGGCUGCUAUGUAUGUAUAAUAUUAUCAUAUUUAGUGAAUCAUAGGGCUGGAUAUAAGGAAGAAUCUCUAUUGAGUCAAAUUCUCCCAGAGGCGUUACUAGAGCUUGGACUGGCACAUGGCUAAUGCUUUUCUAUUUCUUUUGAUUCAACAGCAAGGCUAAAUAUACUUGCAAAGAAAAAGAUCCAGUUGAAUAAAAUCCAUAUGAAGCCUGCUGUAAUUACAUAAUUUGAGUAAAUUUAUGCCUUAGGACUUUCUUAAGAGUAGAAAUUCUCUGAACAGAAACAGUGCAUUUCUAGGGAGUGCCAGUAAGGAGCUUCAAAGUACU